AGGUUUGCGAAAAAGCUCUAGAAAUUCGAAAACAAUCGUUAGGGUCCAAUCAUGUUUAUGUUGCCCAGUCUUUAAACAAUCUUGGUUUGGUGUUU